GACGAACGCUGGCGGCGUGCUUAACACAUGCAAGUCGAGCGGUAAGGCCCUUUCGGGGGUACACGAGCGGCGAACGGGUGAGUAACACGUGGGUGACCUGCCCUCAGCUCUGGGAUAAGCCUGGGAAACUGGGUCUAAUACCGGAUAUGACUCCAUGACGCAUGUUGUGGGGUGGAAAGCCUUGUGCGGCUGAGGAUGGGCCCGCGGCCUAUCAGCUUGUUGGUGGGGUGAGGCCUACCAAGGCGACGACGGGUAGCCGGCCUGAGAGGGCGACCGGCCACACUGGGACUGAGACACGGCCCAGACUCCUACGGGAGGCAGCAGUGGGGAAUCUUGCGCAAUGGGCGAAAGCCUGACGCAGCGACGCCGCGUGAGGGAUGACGGCCUCGGUGUAAC
rnacentral:rRNA from 1 species